rnacentral:rRNA from 1 species
UAGUGCCUACGGGGGGCAGCAGUCGAGAAUCAUUCACAAUGGCGGAAGCCUGAACCAGCCAAGUCGCGUGAGGGAAUAAGGCCCUACGGGUCGUAAACCUCUUUUGCCGGGGAGCAAGGGCCGGGACGCGUCCCGGCCCGGAGAGUACCCGGAGAAAAAGCAUCGGCUAACUCCGUGCCAGCAGCCGCGGUAAUACGGAGGAUGCGAGCGUUAUCCGGAUUUAUUGGGUUUAAAGGGUGCGUAGGCGGGCUUUUAAGUCAGCGGUAAAAAUUCGGGGCUCAACCCCGUCCGGCCGUUGAAACUGG